ACAUAACGUAUCUUUUCAUGUCAUACUAUCAUAGAUAACUGAUCCGGAAGAUUGUUGUGAGAUAAGUAGAAUACAACAUGUCAUAAAAACUUAUACAUAAGAUAUACGGGCCUAUAAGGCAAAAAUUAACCACUCGUACACUGAACAUAGGCCGACAAGGUCAUACUAUCUUUUACGUACAUGGCAUCUGUCUACAAGCCUCUAAGAAUACAUAAUUUUCAUAAAGUUCAGGACAGAGUCUCACCAUGCCAAAAAAUACACAUCUAAAUCAUACUAACCAAACAAGCAACUCCGAAACAAAUGGAGCGCACCAACAUCUUCCGCUGAGCUGAUAGCCUACUUGGAGGGCUUUCAACCUGUCUAUAAAAACCUACAUGCAUGAAACAUAGCGUCCCUAGGCAAAAGUGAUAUCAGUACAAAUAAUGUACCAAGUAUGUAAGGAACAUAAAUAAGUACAUAAAAGACAUGGAAGAAAUAUAGAGUACAUGACUCAACCUGUAAGUCUAGACAACUCUGUAAAUCAUGAAAUACUUAUAGUGUCAUGCAUAUGCAUAUGAAUGUCAUGUCGUGCAUAGGUACAUGUGUUCAUAACAUCAUCAAGCCUCUAAGGGCAUCCCAUCAUAUCAUCUCAGCCACUGUGGGCAAAAUCAUCAACGUAUACCACCUGAUCAGGUGGUGGUACAUUAAUAACGCUGUAACCUUUCCCGUAUCCCAUAUACAUAUAUAUACAUGUAUAUAAUGCUAUCUGGUCAUGGGUCAAUGUGCAUGUAUAAAUGCAUGAAAUGCAUAUGAAAUACGUUAAUAAAAUCUUCUCAAAAUGCCAUAAAAAUCAAUAUACAUUUCAGAUAAACUAUUUACCGUGAAAAUGGUAAUAACAAUUAAAUUUCUUGAUGGGACUCUAAAAAUACGUGAUCUAUUUUUAUGCUAGUUUGUUAGGUAGUUGCUGCUAAGCAUGCAAGAUUUAAAAAUGACAUAGAGUUAAGGAUAACGCUAUAACCAAGCUGGUAGGACACCUAUUCGGGGCCUCGAGCUUGCCGAUUUGGAGCCUCGAGGUUGAUCCCGGGCUCGGCUACGAGCUAUCAAGGGUAAUUUCUAUGUGACUAAAAAUUAUAAUAAGAUUGUCUGAGGCUCUUUAUAGUCAAUGAUAAGCAAUAAAUGAUGAAUAAAUGUGGAGAUAAUAAAUGGGAGCAAUAAUAUCAAGAGAGUAUGUUAGAAAGCAAAAAGUGUGUUCUUCUAUAUUUUAGUGUGCAAUAACUGAAGUGACCCACCCUUACAAAGUGAUAAGGAUCCCCUUUAUAUAGGAGGGAAAUCCCAUAAAAGUACAACAAGCAUUAAUUACAAAGAUAUAGAGAUAUGACUACUAGAUGACACCCGGACUCGGGUCUUAGAGUAGCUCCCUAGGCUCUGUCAGUCCUAGCCAUGUGCCUUGGGAACUCCCCGUUUCCGCCGUGGUUGUGGUUGGAAUUAUCACAAGAUCGAGUGUCGAUGAACCUCUAGGGAGGAAUCUCGAUCGUGGCCUUGUAGCCCCAGGACUUCGAGAUGGUCUUCCGAGGUGCUUUGAUAAUGAGAAAUUGGACCCUCCGAUUUCACCGUAUACAGAUAGUCCCCGCAUUUCUUAGAGAGGAGUGAUAAGAAACGGUUUUGACACCUAACUCUUCGGACUUCCCGCAGUGAUGUCAUGCCGAUGAUAUCAUACUUAUGAUGUAAGUCUCCACGAUAACUGAUACAUCCCAUGGACUUGUCUUUUCAGCGUCAUUCAAUGUGCUGCUGAUUCCCAUUCUUCAAGGCGACCGUAUUGCCGUCGAUCCAGUUUCCAAUGGCGCAUUGAUUGUGCCUGUCGAUACGUCUUCUUAAGGCAUUGUAGGCCACACUAUCAUCCCCUAUAAAUGGGGCCUUUCCAUGCUAACUUUUUAUUCAAGUGUUUCUCAACAUCUUUUCAUUCCUUUCUUCUCAUCCUCAUUAUCCUUCUUUUAUUUCUACCCGCCAUGUCUGGGGGUUUUGACCUUAAGAUAUUACAGCGGCGUUCUUACCAGCUGCACCAUGGCCCUUUACCUGGGCUUUGCUGUGCCGAGCGAGAUUACACUAUCUCAUUGUUGUUGUUGUUGUUGUUACAGCUAUCACUGUUGUUGUCAUUAGACCAAGGUGACGAGAUGAAGGGGGUCGGACUAUUCCGACUUGGGGGAAUAUUUGGAAUCUACACCGCUGCUCGGGAGAGUGUUCGGACUACACACCGCUGCUCACUCUCCUACCCUUGCCUGCUGCUGCACUUCAUCCCUCGGGUCUUUUCUCAAGGGAUAAAUGGUGCACUGACCGUUAAGAUCACACGACACGAUGUCCCGGAAGGUGGACCCAGAGCGUCCAUGCGAGUAGGGUUGAGGCCCACUGAAUCUUCAACCUUUGGCUUCGGCGGUCUAUAUCUCUUUUCUCUGCCUCUUCUGCAUCACCUUCCUCUUCUUUGCCUUCACACUUUCCUCUUCUUCAUCUUUGCCCUUGGAGAUAUUGCUCCGUGGGAUUGAGCUGGGAACCUAGAGGAGAUGGCGGUCGAAGGUAUCACCAUCAAGGAUGCAUGCUCGAGGGGGCAGAGCUCGGAGAUGCUGAUAUCAGAGAUGAAUCUUCGAGAGUAGAUUAGGUCCCAGGCUUUCACUACGUGUGUACCCUCUCGCUUCUUUGUUUCUGUGUAAGAAACCCUCGUGGGCUUUUGUAAUCAUAUGUAAGGAACCUUCGUGGGCUUUUGCAAUUGAAUGUUUCAUGAAAACAAAGAUAUUUUCUCCAAUUUGUCUUCGAUGCUUGCUAUAUUCUUUUAUGUUUGUGGAGACUCUGAAUGCAUGGCUCCGUCUGCUAUUGCCAAAUACCAAACCCGAGUGCGAGUAUUCUUUCUGGCCUUUGGCUGAUUAAUAUGGCCUUGCGUAGAACCCUUUGCGAUCCCUUAGAUCGAACCUAAAUCGGGCCGAUGGACUCGGUUCGCCAGGACCUUGACUUCGAGUAGAAUGAAAGUAACAUUUUGGGCCUUGGAAUCAUGGUUUAUUAGUUAAACACUGUGGUAACCUUUGAGAAGAAAUUUGCUCGAAGGCCCGGAGAUAGGAACUGCCUUUGAUCUCUCGAGGGAAGUCCCCGAGAGGAGGUUCGUUCAAAUUCAAACCACCUGGAAACUUGCUCUAGGCUCAGCGUAAAUAGUCUUAGGGCGCCAUAGAUAUAUUUUGAAAGAGGGUUUGUACGAUCUCAGACGGUACCCCGGGGCCAAGCCUAUGCGGGUGGGGUUUAAAUGCUUAUUUCCUUGGAGCCUAAAACCCCCGAGGUUGGGUACCACCUCGGGUCUUGUAAUGAUGUCACUGGCUUUCUAGAGACUAACCUUGUUCUGACGAAGGUCCUGAAGGUCGGGUACCACCUCGGGACUGGAGAAGAUGUUAUUGGCUUCUUGGAUACUAACCUUGUUCUGGUGGGGGUCCUCGAGGUCGGGUACUACCUCGGAACUGGAGAAGGUGUUAUUGGUUUAUUGGAGCCUAACCUUAUUCUAAUAAAGGUCCUCGAGGUCGGGUACCACCUCGGGACUAGAUAAGGUGUUAUUGGCUCCUUAAAGCCUAACUUUUGUUGGAUGGAGAUCCUCGAGGUUGGGUAUCGCCCCGAGACUGGCGAUGUUGUUUUUAGCUGGUUUUGAGGCAAACGAACCAUCGUCAUUUCUUACAUAUAUAUUCAUGGACAUUUUUGGCUCUUUAGGGGAUCCCACCACUUUAAGCAGUUUCCCUUCUUUUUCUGCGCUAGCCUUUCGUCACUCCAGCAUUAAUGCACUUGCACAUAUUCCCACUUUAGUUUUCUAAUUUCGUCAUAGUCGUAGCUGCCAUGUCGGGAUCUGUUCGACAGGGAGGGGAGAGCUUUUCCUCCGGCAUUCAGGACCAACGAGAGUAUGCCUUGAAGUUGCUUUUUUGAUAGGAGAAGAACAUCUUAGGUUGGUGAAAAAAAACUGCGGAUGGGGGGAAAAAGUAGUACCGCAGAUACUUCCCCCGAGUGAGGGCAUCACGUAUCAUGUCGAUUGAUUCUUGAAUGUGUACACAUACCCUUUCACAUUAGGCCCCCUUGAUAGGGUUGUGCUCGAUUUCUUCCUCGAGUAUCGAGUUACCUUGGCGGAGAUCCAUCCGUCAUUUUGGCGAACAGUGCUGAUGAUGAGAUUUUUUGCGGAGAAGGCAGGGCUUGACUUUACUCUUAGUCAUCUUAUCAAGUUGUACUGGCCCUUCCACCAUCGAGGUUUAUUGACCUUGCGAUGCCGAUCGACUACGCCCUUCAUUGUUGAUGACGAGAAAGAUGGAGACCGGGAUAGAUGAGUUGCUUCGUCCGGUUGCAGACCGCUGACAUUAUCCCUAUGGAGCUCAUGCCAUUCCCUGAGGAAUGGAAUUACGCUCGUAAGUGGUGCAUCUCGUGCUAUAUCAGUUUUGUCUAUGGCGAAAGCCUUGUUUCGUUAUCGUGCCUUCUUUUCUUUUCCCGUAGCGGUUUCAUGGGCGCCGAGCGAUGUUCCCGAUUUGCCAAACUGGGUCUGAAGGUUGGAUACCUACUCGACUAGUGACGAGCGCAAGUGGCGAGCUGCACCCCGGGGUAGAUGGGAAGCAAAAUACCAUGGUGAGUACUGUGCUAUUCUUUCCUUUCCCUUCUUUCAUGUGGAGAAGCAUAUCCCCUUUACGUGUAUUAAUCUCACUGUUGUAGGCAUUGGAGAGCCUUUCAAGGCGAGGACGUUCUCCCUCGGAGAGGCGGAAGGGUUGCCAACUUUCGGGCUGAAGAACGAUAAUAAUGAACGAGAGGCGCUUUUGCAGGGUGACAACGCUCAAAGUAAAGCCAAGCGGGACCAAGGCUUCAGAGCGGAUGCAUCAUCCGAGCCUGUCGUGUCUGCAGCUCCCGGUUCUGGAAAGAGGGCUUCUUCGUUGUUGUCACCUUAUUUUCUCAUAGAUAGCAUUUUGGGAGAUACUAGAAACUCGAGGUCGCAUACACCAAGCGACCGUGCUUCGCCCAGAUAGGCUCUUUCAGGGCCGCAGGGACUGGAUUGGCAGGUGUGUGUUUGGUCUUCGAGGAAGCCCGUCGGCUUCACUUGGUGGUGAAUUUCGGCAUAGGUCUUUCGAGCUUUGCACCUUCCCUUUCUUAUUGAGUGUUCUUUUGCAGGCAUUCGACAAGCAUAAGUCCGGGCUGCUUCGUUGUGAUGCCAGGCUUCGGAAAGCUCUGGAUGAAGAGAGAUCCCUGAGGCUCCUUUGUGAUGAAAAAGAAGUCGAGUUAGUACAUUUGUAGUACGAGGUGAGCCAGAGCUUGAAUUACAAAAACCACCUGAAGGAGUAGGUAGUUUUCUAUCUCGUCUGAGUGUACACUCUGCCUCCUGGCUCCUGGGACUAAUACUUAGUUUAUUUCAGUUGCAGAAAAAGAUGGAGGCCCUAGAACGCCUUCAAGAUGAAGUUGACCGGGCCAGUCUUGAGCGUGAUGAAUUGAAAGCCCGGGCAGAGGCUAAGGCUUUAGGAGGGAAGGAUCCUCUGGCCAAAGUUCCUGCUUUUGAAUCUCAACUUCGCCUAGCUCACGACAAUGCUUUGGUUCAGACAGAAAUGAUUGCAAAGCUCGAGUUCGAGCUUUCGAAAGUUGGGGCUAAGAUCGUUGAUGCUCGGGUAGAAGCCGCAAUGAGCCGGACUAAGGCUGACCAGGAGAUGGAGAUCUACUCAAAGGAUGCCGCCGAUGCUCAAGCCGAGCUGAGAAGGAUCCUCGACCGCAAAGGUAGGAUUGAAGAAUAUGCUCAUUGCAAGUCUCGAAUAAAGACCCUCUAGGAGAUCCGUGAUAGAGGUUUCGCCCUCUCGGAAGAAUUGGCGCUAGCAAGGGCGAAUGAGUAUGAUGCUCGGUUGCUUUUGCCCGAUGCCGAGGAAAGCAAGGAUGAGACCGGCAGGUCGUAACCCCUAGGAGGGGGGGCGUAUAUUUUGCCAUAUGUAUGUUGCAUUUUCAAAGCAUAUUUGUAGCUGGAGGUUGCGUUUCUUGCAUGUAUGUGAAAAAAACCUAGCGACUUUACUCCUUUCGUAUCUUUUUUUGUCUUGAUUUUGACCAGGCGAUCUGGUUUUUGCAAUGGUAGGAAUCCUCAGAGUAUGGAUGUGGACCCGAGGCUCAUUGCACUGGCCCGUAGGCUCUUACAUACUUUCGCUCUUAGGCAUACCUAAGCCACCUAUUUUGGGCUCAGUCCCCGAUUCGGGCAUCGACUCGAGCUUAUAUUUCCUUUAAAUGGCCAAAUUUUAGGCUGGCGAUAGUGGCUCUUACGCUUUUGGUCGAUGCAACCUUUUAAUGCACGUGGGCUGGAGACAGUGGCUCUUAUGCCUUGGGCCGAUACGGUCUUUUAGUGUAAGCUGGCGAUAAUGGCUCUCACACUUUGGGUUGAAGCGACCUUUUAGUGUAAGCUAACGAUAAUGGCUCUUAUGGUUUUCCCUUAGGCAUAUAUAGUUAACUAUUUUGGGUCCAGACUUCAAAUCGGGUUACGACUCGAGCUCAUUUUGACCCUCAAGUUUUCAGAUUUCAGGCAGGCGACAGUGGCUUUUACGCGUUUGGUCGAAGCGACCUUUUGUGUGUGUGGCACUGAGGCUCAUUAGGCUGGCAACUAUAGCUCUUACGCUCUUGGUCGAUGCGACCUUUUAUGUAUGUGGCCCUGAGGCUCAUUAGUAUUUAUUUUCAUCUCGUUAAGGACUUUUGAAGUAAUUUUUGCCUGGCUCGUUGUCGGUUCGGAAAGAACCUCGAUUUUGAGCAACUUGCGGCGAUGUUCGAGCACCUCGGGAGGUUUGGCACGGAGGCUGAGUAGCUCAAAGCUCAUGAUUUAAAGCUGACAUGGUCGAAGCUCAUUUUCGUAUGCCGAGGGUAGCCUGUUUAACUGGUUCUUUCUGAAGUAAAUUCGGAGUAAUUUGAAGGCCUAUGUGGGCUGGCGACAAUGGCUCUUACGCCUCGUAGCGAUGGUCGGGCACCCCUGGGUUGUGUUAAUUCAGUUGGUACAGCCGUUUGACCAUAGUCACUUGCGUUUGGCUAGAGCCUUUGAUUCCCAAGUGAAAUAGUCUCGACAUCUAUAUCGAGGUUAUGCCUUUUUAGGGGUCUUACAAGUUCGAUAUAUAGCCGAAACUUUGAGAUCGAGUUUAUGCCUUUAGUAAGGUCUUACAAGUUUUUCACGUCGUUGAGGUCUUACAGGUUUUUUAUGCCAUUGAGCUUUUACAGUUUUUUCAUGUCGUUGAGGUCUUACAGUUUUUUCAUGCCAUUGAGGUCUUACAAAUUCUUCAUGCCAUUGAGGUCUUACAGGUUUUUCACUUGGUACAAGUGUGGUUCAUGCUUUGCUUGAGGUCUUACAGAUUUUUCAUGCCGUUGAGGUCUUACAGGGUUUUCACUUGGUACAAGUGUGGUUCAUGCCUUCCUUGAGGUCAUACAUAUUUUUCAUGCCGUUGAGGUCUUACAUGUUAUUCAUGUCGUUGAGGUCUUAUAGAUAUAGUUGUUGCCUUAAGUAGGUCUUACAAGACCGAGUCUGCCCGCUUGGGGUCUUAGGGACUCGGUUUUUGAUAAGUCGAUGAAGGUGGCGCUUGACGGCAGUCCUCGAGUAAUCGAGGGUUUCCUGACUCAGGAGCCAUUAUUCGCAACCUUUGUAUUUCCUUUUCGAAGGAUUACGAUUUUGGAGAUCCUGACCCUGAGGUCAUACGUUCUUGGAGAUAUCGGCGCCAGUCCCUGAGUGUCAGGCGCCUUUGGCCUUGGAGAUGUUUUGUGAUUGUUGCCUUACCUGAGAGCUUGUUAUUUUGGAGUCCCGACCCAGAGGUCAUUCGGGCGUUGAAUUGUUGACAUCAGUCCUCGAGUCUUGGGGACGUUUCCGGUAGAGAAAUCAUUUUCGCGGAGGUGCCAAGCUUCUUCUGGAGCGCGAUAUGCUUUGACAAAAGAUAUUUUUCAAUUAUUUGGUACAAGUGUACAUGUAUUCAUUGUCAGGGGCCGAGCUAUAUGGACAUGGUCCGUUCGACCGUUUGGCCCGGUACAUUAUUUUCCUAUAGGGACCCCAUUUGGCGUUUCUUGGCUUUUCCGAGCGGAUGGCCUUCAGGGGGGAGGGGGGAUGCCCCCCAGUGUUCGAGGUUGAUUGCGAAGGAAGCCUCGAACAUUUGUUGAGUCUCCCCUAGGUAGAAUGCAGAUGUUGCCUCGUUAAAAACCUUGCUGGUAAAACCCUUUUCGAGAUAAAAACUCGGUCGAAGGAAAAGAGUGUAGCAGAUACUUUGAAACCUUAAGGUCAUCAAGAUGGACUAACACUCUGACUGCUUCGUUCGGGCUCCUGCAUAAGGGUUAGUACGAAAUACGAAAUGAAAAGGGAUAUGGUUAUACCUUAGUGUAGGAUGUACCAGCGACAUUUCGAGGACCGAUGCAUCCUAGUUACUCGAGACGAGGAUGCGGUACGGUCCUUUACUUUGUUUGAUCGGGUUUGAUCGAAGGCGUGACUUGAUUACCCUUUAGCUCUUUUGCGGGUGGAGGUCCUGAUGCCGGUGCCACAUCGUGCACCGCGAACAUCUCCAUUGCUGCAUGUUGUUCCCCGUAGACGAUUUUGAUCCCAUCUGUCACACCUCCUUUUUACCGCCCCAAAAGGGGUAUAAGGGAGUAUUUCCAAUUUAAGUGACAAUCAAACCAGGAUUAUUUUAUCUACAAUUCAGAGUUGCCACUUGGGAUAAUUUAUGGUAUCCCAAGUCACCGGUUUAAAUCCCGAAUCGAGGAAAGGUUAACUCUGUUUACAGUCCACGAAUACAAAAAUCUGGGUAAGGAAUUCUGUUUACCCGGGAGAAAAUGUUAGGCAUUCCCGGAUUCCGUGGUUCUAGCAUGGUCGCUCAACUAUUAACAAUUUGCCUAAUUACAUGAUUAAUUACAUAUUUUAAACCUACAUGCAUUUUUAGCUUUAUAACCGCUUUUAAUUAUUUUAAACCGCUUUCAAGAUUUAUGGAAUUAUUUCUUGAACAAGUUACGAUUGUACACUUGCCGUUUUGGAACACAUGGAAAACUACGCUACAAUGCACCUGCGGUUCGCGUCAUGUUUAUUUUAUUAUUAUUCAAAAUUUUUAUGGCCAGUUCAUAUGAAAUGCACACCCGAAUUUGGAUUAGGUAUCAUGACAGUGCCACGGGAUCCAUACUCACAGUCACGAUAAUUAUUAUUAACGCGCCUAAAGCAAACUACGAAUAUUUAUUUGGUUAUUUUCCUACACUAAUUUGAGAUAAGUUAUGAGGUCAUGACUAUGGAAUUUAUUGUGGAAGGAAUGAAUUUAAUUUUUUAUGGAAAAGAUGUACUAACUUAUAGCCUUGUUGGCAUUUUGGGUCAGCUUCACAAAAAAAAUCCAAGAAAUCAAACAAAAACUUUUCUAUGACAAAUAACGUGCAACUAACAAGGCAAUGAGUAAUUAAAAUAGGAAAAAAUUCAUGUAUUUUAGAAUUCUGCUUCGGCCUUGAUAUACUGCACAGGUUUCUUUCCAGUUCUUUUAUUUAAAGAUACAAGCUAUUAUAGCCUUUGCGGCAGAAGAAAGUCAAUGAAUGAGAGAAAAAAAAUAAAAAAGAAAAACAACUAACAGCCACAGACCUAGAUAUCUUGGGAGUACAUGCUCAAUAGGGUUAUGGUGAAAAUCACAGCUUAUCAUUAGAGCAUAAUUCUAAACUAACACAACAAUUAAUAAAAGGACUAUCUAAGAUACAUUUUACAUGAAAAUAAUUAAAAAUAAAAUGGACCUUCAAAGCUUUGUACGGACAGAAACAAACAACAUUCUGAGGCAUAUAAUGAGCUAAUGUAUUUUAUAUUAUUUAGCAAGCUAAUAACAAAGAGCAAGAAAAAGUGAGAAAUGGCCAAGAAACAGACCUCUAUGAACUCAGAUAAUUUUGAAACGAAGCUCAAUAACGAAAUUCCGAGUUACAGAAACUCGCCGGAGACCUCGACGGACCAAACCUUGAAGACCUCGAAACCUCAAUACCCAGCUCCAAGCAGAGCUCACAAACGAGCUCCAAAAAUGGAUUCAAACUAGUGGAACUCCAGUAGCAAACUGGAAGGAAAACGCAAAAGGCAGUAGCAAAAGGCGGGUGGAAGGUAAGGCAAUGCUGACGAUGGAGGCGGAGAAAGGGAUGGUCUGCCGGCAUUCAUGGCUGUUGUUACUCCAAGCAUGAAGGAAACGUCCACUACUGAGAGUAAUCUUGUCUCUCCAAUCUAGCUUCACCCAUAAUAAAUUUUCUUAAAAAAUGAUGAACAGCAAAAAACAGAGCUGCCGAAAAAUCUAAAACCAACUGUUGGUGUCCAUAUCCAGCGAGCUAACACCAGCAAAGGCGAAGAUGAUAGUGGGGUUAAAACUGUAGCCAAGAAGAAAGACUUUUGUGGCUAUUUUUUUCGUUUUUUCUUUGGUUUUUUUUUUCCGUGUCCUUCGUGCCCCAGGUCCCUUUGUUUUUGUUUUUGUUGUGCAAACCCCCUUUCCCUGUUAUUCUUCGCCCCCCACCCCCCUGUUGCUCUCUCUCUAUUUCCCAGCUUUUUACUGUUUUUCCCCUCUUGCUACUCUCUGUAGGUGUCUUCCUUUUUCAGAGAGGUGAGAGUGCGCAUUUUAUAGGCAGGUAGUGAAUUGUUGGCCAAGAAAAAUAAAUGAGAUUAGGAUAAGAGUGUAAGGUCCCCACCCCUCUACCUGUUGGUUAUACACACAUAAAAAACAAUAGUGUGCAAGUGAGAUCACGUGGGGUGGUAAACAAAGAAAAAUAAGUAAUC
rnacentral:lncRNA from 1 species